CCUUCUAAAACUAUGCUGACUGGAGUAAUAUAAAUACAUAGUAUUCUUAAAAGGAAUCGGUAUGAUACAUAAUAACCGGUCAUU
rnacentral:rRNA from 1 species